rnacentral:lncRNA from 1 species
UCAGCGGCGGCGGCGGGGAGCUCAGUGGCGUACUGUAGCAGGAAUUGCCGGCGGAAACAGCAGCCAAGUGCGGCGAGAUCUCACCGCCACCGUUAAUGCUGCCCAAUUUCCCGAUCAGCUCCCGGAUCAUGAAGCUUUCGGCGGAGACGUUGUUGGAGUUGGACGGUGUCGCCGCUGCCGCGGCCGGAGAGGAAGCCAUGGAGCUCAGCGCCGAUUCGAACUGGAGGCCGGCGUUGUGAUCCGCUGCCGUUGACCUUUCCCAGUUGCCGAAUUGGUGGUGGU